CCUACGGGGGGCAGCAGUGAGGAAUAUUGGUCAAUGGGCGCGAGCCUGAACCAGCCAAGCAGCGUGAAGGAUGACUGCCCUACGGGUUGUAAACUUCUUUUAUAAAGGAAUAAAGUGAGGCACGUGUGCCUUUGUGGAUGUACUUUAUGAAUAAGGAUCGGCUAACUCCGUGCCAGCAGCCGCGGUAAUACGGAGGAUCCGAGCGUUAUCCGGAUUUAUUGGGUUUAAAGGGAGCGGAGGGGGGUUGUUAAGUCAGUUGUGAAAGUUUGGGGCUCAACCCUAGAAUUGCAGUUGAAACUGGCAGUCUUGAGUACAGGAGAGGUGGGCGGAAUUCGUGGUGUAGCGGUGAAAUGCUUAGAUAUCACGAAGAACUCCGAUUGCGAAGGCAGUUCACUGGACUGCAACUGACGCUGAGGCUCGAAAGUGUGGGUAUCAAACAGGAUUAGAUACCCCAGUAGUC
rnacentral:rRNA from 1 species